rnacentral:lncRNA from 1 species
UAGACAGUGGCUUGUCAAGAAGAAAACUGACUUUUACUCAUUCCUAACUUUAUUGUUUUUUUUUUCUCAGAAUGGAGAAGAUCACAAGCUAAAAUGUACCUUAGGGAACAUUUUUCUUUCCAGACCACUUAAUUACUUGAAAAGAUAAUCUGAAUAACAUUUGAUCAAAUUUUUCAUUAGAACUCCCUUUUAAUUUUUCAUUAGCUUCAUAAUUAACUGAAUUUGUACAGUCAUCAGUCUGUUUACAGCUUUUUGCUUUGUAAAGUGCUGUACCAUAACCCUGUCUCUCUCUCUCUUUGUGCUUUCCAGAUCAUCACACUGAGUAUUGUAAGGCAGCCAUAUAUCCUUCUCCUGAUGAAUGGAACAUCCAUUUCUACAUAGCAUCAAACUGAUAGAUGUAUUUUCACGGUUAGAAGGAGAACGGGCAUCUCACUCCAACUCUUAUUUGAAUUUUCAUUUCAUUUGAUUAAGCUACACAGACACAAUGAUGUCCUAUGUUCUUCCCUCCGUAACCCUGCAAAGCUAAGCCUAAACUAGCUGUGCUCUUUUCUUUUUCUCAGGGCCAGGGUGUACAGUGAAUCUCUAGCAGUCUGCUCUAGCUAUCGUGCCACAGUUAGAUAUCCGCAUCAGCUUUAUACCCAUUUGUUUCUAUUUUCAGCUUUAUUCUUUCUUUAUUUUUUCCCCUCUUUUGUGCUGGCUACUCAGAGCUCUGGUCAUUUCCUUGGACAGUUCUAAAUCAUUAAACGGCAAACUGUUCCUUUUCUGUGAAGCAGCAGGUAUCAUUUCUGGCCUGACAAGAGCAGGCUCCACCUGCCGACUGCCCACCAACGCAUCCAGCUGUCUGCUUUGCAGAACAGGCAAGUUCCCAUAG